ensembl:snRNA U1 U1 spliceosomal RNA
AUACUUACCUGGCAGGGGAUCUUGAUCUCGCGGUGGUUCACCCAGAGUGAGGCCCAGCCACUGCCCUGCAGCUGUGCUGACCCCUGCCAGUUCCCCUAAUGUGGGAAUCUUCACUGCAUAAUUUCUGGUAGUGGGGGACUGCAUUCGCACUCUCCCCUG